UACGGAGGAUGCGAGCGUUAUCCGGAUUUAUUGGGUUUAAAGGGUGCGUAGGCGGAUUUUUAAGUCAGCGGUAAAAUGUCCGGGCUCAACCCGGGCCGGCCGUUGAAACUGGGGAUCUUGAGUGGGCGAGAAGUAUGCGGAAUGCGUGGUGUAGCGGUGAAAUGCAUAGAUAUCACGCAGAACUCCGAUUGCGAAGGCAGCAUACCGGCGUCCGACUGACGCUGAGGCACGAAAGCGUGGGGAUCGAACAGG
rnacentral:rRNA from 1 species